rnacentral:rRNA from 1 species
UACGAAGGGGGCUAGCGUUGCUCGGAAUUACUGGGCGUAAAGCGCACGUAGGCGGUCUUUUAAGUCGGUGGUGAAAUCCUGGAGCUCAACUCCAGAACUGCCUUCGAUACUGGAAGACUUGAGUCCGGGAGAGGUGAGUGGAACUGCGAGUGUAGAGGUGAAAUUCGUAGAUAUUCGCAAGAACACCGGUGGCGAAGGCGGCCCGCUGGGCUGUUGCUGACGCUGAGGCGCGACAGCGUGGGGAGCAAACAGG